CACGUAGGGCGCAAGCGUUGUCCGGAAUUAUUGGGCGUAAAGAGCUCGUAGGCGGUCUGUUGCGUCCGCUGUGAAAACUCGGGGCUUAACCCCGAGCCUGCAGUGGAUACGGGCAGACUAGAGGUAGGUAGGGGAGAAUGGAAUUCCCGGUGUAGCGGUGAAAUGCGCAGAUAUCAGGAGGAACACCGGUGGCGAAGGCGGUUCUCUGGGCUGACACUGACGCUCAUGCACGAAAGCGUGGGGAGCAAACAGG
rnacentral:rRNA from 1 species